rnacentral:tRNA from 1 species
GCCGGGGUGGUGAAACUGGUAGACGCACUGGACUCAAAAUCCAGCGGACGCAAGUCCAUGUCGGUUCGAUUCCGACCCUCGGCA